AAAGCAGGCCCGUCAACAAUGAAUCUCUCUCUAGUGGCCCGCCAUGUUAUUUGCAGAAAAAUCCUUCUUACCUCGUGGUUUUGAUCGGUUUCUCACUUCUAGGAUGCCACCAGCCAGCCCAACAAACAGAGGAAUUUUAGGCAUUUGUGGGCGAAGGUGGAAAUGGUUGACGCCUGUUAGUGCCUGUUGGUUGUAACCCCGAUUUUGCUUUGAUUUUUAUUUUCAAUGGUGCAUACACAUCGUUGAGUUGCUGGUUACUUAAUGUUGAUGGAUUUACAUUAUGCCAGAAAAUACACCAGCAAUUAGCCACCAGGGAGUGGGUUUACGAGGACUACCUUGCCAUGCUAAAAGUGUUAGGUUUCCCUAGGAUCUGCGUAAACGUCAACACAGAAUAUAUGGUUUCAUCGGACAAACAAACUAAACAAAUAAAGGUAAGAUAAAAACGAGUGUUGUAGAUUACAAGACAUGCUUCUCUGUUUUGGCCGAUCUAUUUUUUUUCUUUGCGACGGAACAUGUGAUUUCAAUGGUGCCGAUGAUUCGUGUUAAUGGGUAACGUUAAUGGUGCGUACCUGUGACUAUUCAUACGCCAAACAGCUGGCAAGAGAUGAGAAGUACCAUUUUAAACGGAAACAUGUAAAAUCUUUUUAUACUAAACGACAGUUUGAUGUGGGUCAGGAAC